GAUGAACGCUGGCGGCAUGCCUAACACAUGCAAGUCGAUCGGUAAGGCUCUUCGGAGUACACGAGAGGCGGACGGCUGAGUAACGCGUAGGAACACACCCUGCAGUGAGGGAUAAGACACCGAAAGGUGUUCUAAUACCGCAUACGGUCUUCGGAUUAAAGCAUUUAUGCGCUGAAGGAGUGGCCUGCGUCAUAUUAGAUAGUUGGUGAGGUAAUGGCUCACCAAGUCGAUGAUGUGUAGCUGGUCUGAGAGGAUGAUCAGCCAGACUGGAACUGAGACACGGUCCAGACUCCUACGGGAGGCAGCAGUGAGGAAUAUUACACAAUGAGCGAAAGCGUGAUGGAGCAAUGCCGCGUGCAGGAUGAAGGCCCUCGGGUUGUAAACUGCUUUUAUAAGAGAAGAUUAUGACGGUAACUUAUGAAUAAGGGACGGCUAACUACGUG
rnacentral:rRNA from 1 species